ACGGGAGGCAGCAGUGGGGAAUAUUGCACAAUGGGCGCAAGCCUGAUGCAGCGACGCCGCGUGCGGGAUGGAGGCCUUCGGGUUGUAAACCGCUUUUGUUCAAGGGCAAGGCACGGUUUUUGGCCGUGUUGAGUGGAUUGUUCGAAUAAGCACCGGCUAACUACGUGCCAGCAGCCGCGGUAAUACGUAGGGUGCAAGCGUUAUCCGGAUUUAUUGGGCGUAAAGGGCUCGUAGGCGGUUCGUCGCGUCCGGUGUGAAAGUCCAUCGCUUAACGGUGGAUCCGCGCCGGGUACGGGCGGGCUUGAGUGCGGUAGGGGAGACUGGAAUUCCCGGUGUAACGGUGGAAUGUGUAGAUAUCGGGAAGAACACCAAUGGCGAAGGCAGGUCUCUGGGCCGUUACUGACGCUGAGGAGCGAAAGCGUGGGGAGCGAACAGGAUUAGAUACCCUGGUA
rnacentral:rRNA from 1 species